CCCAUACUUUAAACUUACAAGAAAUUAAACUAGUAUUAAAAUAUGGAGCUAAUUGUAGUUGGAGCAAUAUUAGACUUAAUGGACAUAAGUUAUCAAAUUAUUAGUUUGUCUUACUAAUUCUCAAAAUAAUUUGAAUUCUAAAAUAAAUCAUUGAUACUUAAAGAAUUAUCAAUAUUUUUGAGAAUAUUUUCAGUGAUGAGAAUUUAAAUUGAUGAAAAAGGGAUGAUAAAAUGUUUUCAAUAAGUAGGAUCCCAGUAUCUGGUGAUAGAUUAAAAGCCUCGGAUAAUGAAUGUAUCCAGUGAGUUUGUAAAAAUUAAGUACAAUGGGACGUUUCGUAUAUCGUUAGACAAACCUCUUAAAAUUUUAAUGUAUUCAGUGCUAUCCGGCCCGAAAUUGAUAGUACCACGUAAUUCAACAUUUUAUAACUCGAACAGAAUAGCUUACAAAUCGUUUGUAUUUUACCGUUUUUUCGAUGUAUGUUUCAAAUGAUUGAAAUCAGGAAAGUUAAUUUCAGAAGUAACAUUUAAUUGUAUAUCCGUAAUUUUAUUCAAAAAU
rnacentral:lncRNA from 1 species